rnacentral:tRNA from 1 species
GCGGAUGUGGUGAAAUUGGUAGACACGCUAGACUUAGGAUCUAGUGCCGCGAGGUGUGUGGGUUCGAGUCCCUCCAUCCGCACUA